rnacentral:lncRNA from 1 species
AGCUCUGCAGACCUGUGUCGGCGCGGAACCCGGACUGAGACAUGCCUUUUGAACUUCUCAGAUAGAGGAACCCCAGUGAAGACUGAUCAGUUCUUACAAUUCUCAAAGCAUGGCCCAUAAAUAUGUGGGUUUGCAGUAUCACGGAUCAGUGACAUUUGAGGAUGUGGCCAUAGCCUUCUCCCAGCAGGAGUGGGAGAGUCUGGACUCUUCCCAGAGGGGCUUGUACAGAGAUGUGAUGUUGGAGAACUACAGGAACUUGGUGUCAAUGGCAGGACAUUCCCGUUCUAAACCACAUGUGAUCGCCUUAUUGGAACAAUGGAAAGAGCCUGAAGUGACAGUGAGGAAAGAUGGAAGAAGAUGGUGCACAGGUGAGUAAGAGCAUGGCAGGUAGGGAGGCCAUUGUUGCUGGAAACAGCCCAGCUGUCAGGGAGGAAGUGCAUCUCUGCAAUGUUUGGAGGUUUCCCUUCAAAGCCCUAGGGCCUGGGUGGAAAAAGGCUGAGACUUGGGUAAGAAAUAAAUAUCUCACCAGCCUCACAAAAGGAACUUCAUCUUUACUUAUUUUAAUACUCACUCACCUCUUGUUUCCCUCUCAUUUUAUUACGGACUUAAGUCACUUUCCCAGUGCAUUAUUCCAUCUGUGUAUUGAAUUUCACUUCUUUCACCUCCUCUUUUACAUUUGGAUUUAUUCAUAUAUUCUUAGACAGUAAUAGUUGAACAGAGACAGGAAAAAUGAGGGUUCAGGCCUUGUAAUUAUGUAAGACAUGCCAAGCAGAGGGAAUAGCAGAUGUGGAUGCUUUGGGUGGGAAUGAGUUUUGUGUGCUUCAGGAGCAGUAAGUAGGCUCAGGCAGAAUUAAUGGGAGGAGUAAGAAGAAAAAAGCUAGAGUGCUAGCAGGAAUUUGAAUUUGUUUGUUUUGUUUUGUUUUUGAGUGAGACAGUCUUCUUUUGUCACCUAGGCUGGCAUACAGUGGUGCAAUCAUAGCUCACUGCAGCCUCGAACUCCUGGGCUCAAGCCAUUUUCCUGCCUCAGCCUCCUGAGUAGCUGGGACUACAGGCACACACCACCACACCUGGCUAAUUUUUUUAAUCUUCAGUAGAGACAGUGUCUCACUAUGUGGCUCAGGCUGGUCUUGAACUCCUGGGCUCAAGUGAUCCUCCUGCCUUGGCCUCCCAAAGUACUGAGAUUACAGGUAUGAGCCAUCGUGCCUGGCCAGGAAUUUGGAUUAUUUUCUAAUGUAACUAGAAACUAUGACCUAAUUUACAUUUUUCCAAUUUUUGAAUUUUAGAAAAUUCUAAUAAAUAGGAAACAGAUACCAGAAAAACCAUAUUAAAAUGUACAGCUUGAUGAGUUAUUAUGAGGCAGAUACCUUUGUAACCAUCACUCUGGUCAAAAGAUAAAACAUUUUUACGGGGGCUGGGGGACAACAAGAGGGCGAGCAUUAGGACAAAUACAUAAUGAACACAGGGCUUAAAACCUAGAUGACGGAUUGAUGGGUGCAGCAAACAACCGUGGCACAUGUAUACCUAUGUAACAGACCUGCACAUUCUACACACAUAUCCCAGAACUUAAAGUAAAAUAAAAAAUUUAAAAAACAGGCCGGGCGCGGUGGCUCACGCCUGUAAUCCCAGUACUUUGGGAGGCUGAGGUGGGUGGAUCAGGAGGUCAGGAGAUCGAGACCAUCCUGGCUAACAUGGUAAAACCCCGUCUCUACU